UACGAAGAGCGGCACUUUCUGCAGCUUGAGGGCAGUCGUAACAUCUUUAUUGUUGCCUGGAGCGAUUUGUUCGACCUUUUCAACCUCGACGCUUUGGAUCUUUCUCUCAUUCGGUGCUUUGCAUUGCACAUGCAACAAGAGACAAGGCGUCGAACCGGAAAGAAGUGUGGGUACAUUGACCCACAGAUGAUGACGGUGACAUUUAUGAAUUCAGAUAGAGAUAGCUUGGUCAGGUACAUGGUGAAGUGCAUGGGAGUACAUGCUGACAAGGAGCACAUUGUGGUGCCGUAC